UGCACACAAUUAGGUGUCUAUUUCCAAAACGAAAUUGACGCUCAGUAAAUGUGCGCAAAACAAUGAAGAUGUGCUCAAAUGUAUUUGUUAACAUGCAAACGCAGACGGUACAAUUUCGACA
rnacentral:snoRNA from 1 species